GGGGAGAUUGGCAGCUGGGUCAAACAAAGUCCUUCCAUUGGCUCCCUUCCCAGGCAGCUUCUGCUAGUGUUUAGGUACUAGUGCAGUGUAGAACCCUUUUCUCAGGCAAAACCUAACAUCUGACCGCACCCUUUUUGCUAUUAAAAAAAAAAAAAAAAAAAAAAAAAAAAAAAAAAAAAAACUUUUUAUUUUUUUUUCCUCCUGUCGUUAAGAUAAACUCUCCAGUAGACAACCUCUCCCACUAAUUGUGUAUUAGCAACGUAUUUUAUCUUGAGAGCUUGUACACUGGGCUCUUAACGUGGUGUGGAAGGUAGCCUGUUACAGUGCUGGAUUCAUAAAAGGGCCUUUAUGGUUUGUGAAAGAAUAUCUGUGUGCUUAGGGAGGAAACUUUUUGAUCUGCAGAAAAGCCAGAAGACAUCUAGGAUAUCCAUAAAAAUUCAUCAGACAGUGUUUUACUACUGAGCUACAAAGGGAAAAACUUAAAAUGGAUAUGAAAAGUGAAGAAAGUGAUCAUAGGAGAAAACCAUUUCAGGUAAAAAUAAAAAACAAAG